rnacentral:rRNA from 1 species
UACAGAGGUCUCAAGCGUUGUUCGGAAUUACUGGGCGUAAAGGGCGCGUAGGCGGCUCUGAUCGUCGGAUGUGAAAGGCCUGGGCUCAACCUGGGAAUGGCAUCCGAUACGGCGGGGCUGGAGUGUGGGAGAGGUUGGUGGAAUUCCCAGUGUAGAGGUGAAAUUCGUAGAUAUUGGGAAGAACACCGGUGGCGAAGGCGGCCAACUGGACCACAACUGACGCUGAGGCGCGAAAAGCGUGGGGGAGCAAACAGG